rnacentral:other from 1 species
AUUAUUUUUCAUUAGAUAAUCCAGAGGCUUGUAUUUUUUUUGGUCAAGUUUUUUCUAGUAAGGCACUACUAUAACGCAUAGCGUUUAUUUCAGGAGGGUUCAUUCAUGAACACAGGUAAAGUAAAAUGGUUUAACUCAGAAAAAGGUUACGGCUUCAUCGAAAUGGAAGGCGGAGACGACGUAUUCGUACACUUCUCAGCAAUCCAAGGCGACGGCUUCAAAACACUUGAAGAAGGCCAAGAAGUAACUUUCGAAAUCACAGACGGAGCUCGUGGACCACAAGCUUCUAACGUUGAAAAAAUCUAAUCUUCCUUUCUAAGGAAUAUGAUACCUGCUCGCAUCGGCGAGCAGGUUUUUU